rnacentral:rRNA from 1 species
GAUGAACGCUGGCGGCGUGCUUAACACAUGCAAGUCGAACGAUGAAGCCCAGCUUGCUGGGUGGAUUAGUGGCGAACGGGUGAGUAACACGUGAGUAACCUGCCCUUAACUCUGGGAUAAGCCUGGGAAACUGGGUCUAAUACCGGAUAGGAGCGUCCACCGCAUGGUGGGUGUUGGAAAGAUUUAUCGGUUUUGGAUGGACUCGCGGCCUAUCAGCUUGUUGGUGAGGUAAUGGCUCACCAAGGCGACGACGGGUAGCCGGCCUGAGAGGGUGACCGGCAACACUGGGACUGAGACACGGCCCAGACUCCUACGGGAGGCGGCAGUGGGGAAUAUUGCACAAUGGGCGAAAGCCUGAUGCAGCGACGCCGCGUGAGGGAUGACGGCCUUCGGGUUGUAAACCUCUUUCAGUAGGGAAGAAGCGAAAGUGACGGUACCUGCAGAAGAAGCACCGGCUAACUACGUGUCAGCAGCCGCCGUAAAAC